GACGAACGCUGGAGGCGUGCUUAACACAUGCAAGUCGAACGAUGAAAUGGAGCUUGCUCCAUGGAUUAGUGGCGAACGGGUGAGUAACACGUGAAUAACCUGCCCUUAAUUUUGGAAUAACCCAGGGAAACCUGGGCUAAUACCGGAUAAGUAAACCUGUGGCAUCACAUGGUUUUGGAAAGUUUUUCGAUUAAGGAUGGAUUCGCGGCCUAUCAGCUUGUUGGUGGGGUAAUGGCUCACCAAGGCGACGACGGGUAGCCGGCCUGAGAGGGUGAACGGCCACACUGGGACUGAGACACGGCCCAGACUCCUACGGGAGGCAGCAGUGGGGAAUAUUGCGCAAUGGACGAAAGUCUGACGCAGCGACGCCCCGUGAGGGACGAAGGUCUUCGGAUUGUAAACCUCUUUCAGCAGGGACGAAGCGAAAGUGACGGUACCUGCAGAAGAAGCACCGGCUAACUAUGUGCCAGCCGCCGCAGUAA
rnacentral:rRNA from 1 species